rnacentral:lncRNA from 1 species
CAUGUAUAGGUUUCUGUUUCUCCACCCAAGAAAUAUAGGAAAUUCGUAGAAAUAGUGGGAGCCCUUGUUUAUUUUUAAAGUUUCUAGAACAAACAAUUACAAGUAUAAAUCAUCUAACUUGAAACUAUAUUCUUUGUAGAUCACCAUGUCGAGCUCAAAUCCAUUAGCUCGAAUCUUAGACACCAAUAGGUUGACCGACAUCAACUAUAAGGACUAGCUCUGAAAUCUUAGAAUUAUUCUCACUUUCGAGAAAUUGACACAUAUUCUUGACCAGG